rnacentral:rRNA from 1 species
GACGAACGCUGGCGGCGUGCUUAACACAUGCAAGUCGAACGAAGUGGCGAACGGGUGAGUAACGCUUAAUCAACCUGCCCUUCAGAGGGGGACAACAGUUGGAAACGACUGCUAAUACCGCAUACACAAGACGGGGAUUGAGUCGGAUUAGCUAGUUGGAGGGGUAACGGCCCACCAAGGCGAUGAUCAGUAGCCGGUCUUGGAGGAUGAACGGCCCCAUUGGGACGUGGACACGGCCCCGACUCCUACGGGAGGCAGCAGUGGGGAAUCUUCCGCAAUGGACGAAAGUCUGACGGAGCAACGCCGCGUGAGUGAUGACGGCCUUCGGGUUGUAAAGCUCUGUUAAUCGGGACGCGGUACCGGAAUAGAAAGCCACGGCUAACUACGUGCCAGCAGCCGCGGUAAUUC